CCUACGGGUGACGGCAGUCGAGAAUCAUUCACAAUGGGGGAAACCCUGAUGGUGCGACGCCGCGUGGGGGAAUGAAGGUCUUCGGAUUGUAAACCCCUGUCAUGUGGGAGCAAAUUAAAAAGAUAGUACCACACGAGGAAGAGACGGCUAACUCUGUGCCAGCAGCCGCGGUAAUACAGAGGUCUCAAGCGUUGUUCGGAAUCACUGGGCGUAAAGCGUGCGUAGGCUGUUUCGUAAGUCGUGUGUGAAAGGCGCGGGCUCAACCCGCGGACGGCACAUGAUACUGCGAGACUAGAGUAAUGGAGGGGGAACCGGAAUUCUCGGUGUAGCAGUGAAAUGCGUAGAUAUCGAGAGGAACACUCGUGGCGAAGGCGGGUUCCUGGACAUUAACUGACGCUGAGGCACGAAGGCCAGGGGAGCGAAAGGGAUUAGAUACCCGAGUAGUC
rnacentral:rRNA from 1 species